AGAAAAUAGAUACCCCGGUAGUCUACGCCCUAAACGUUCUUCUCUGGCUUUGGGGAGUAUCGACCCUUCCCGAGGCGAAAGCUAAACGCGUUAAAGAGAAAGCGCCUGGGUAGUACGAGCGCAAGCUUAAAACUCAAAGGAAUAGACGAGGACUUGCACAAGCGGUGGAUUAUGCGGUUUAAUUCGAUGACAAACGAAGAACCUUACCAAGAUUAGAAAUCCAGGGGAAGAAUAUAGAAAUAUAAACGUCCGCAAGGACUCCUGGACAGGUGAUGCAUGGCCGUCGUCAGUUCGUGAUUUGAAAUUGUUCCCUUAAGUGGGGUAACGAACGCAACCCUCGUUGACUGUUACACGUAUCAGUCGAGACCGCUCAGCUCUGAGUUUAUAAACAAACGUUUGUAAAUUGAGAGCUGAGAGGAAGUGAGGAUGACGCCAGGUCAGCAUGUCCCUCUGACAUCUUGGGCUACACGCAUAAUACAAUGGCCGAGACAACGGGUCGCGACGUCGUAAGACUGAGCCAAUCCUUUAAACUCGGCCCAGUUCGGAUUGGGGGCUGCAAC
rnacentral:rRNA from 1 species